CACGAACGCUGGCGGCAUGCCUAACACAUGCAAGUCGAGCGAGACCUUCGGGUCUAGUGGCGCACGGGUGCGUAACGCGUGGGAACCUGCCCUUAGGUUCGGAAUAACUCCCCGAAAGGGGUGCUAAUACCGGAUAAUGUCUUCGGACCAAAGAUUUAUCGCCUUUGGAUGGGCCCGCGUUGGAUUAGCUAGUUGGUAGGGUAAAAGCCUACCAAGGCGACGAUCCAUAGCUGGUCUGAGAGGAUGAUCAGCCACACUGGGACUGAGACACGGCCCAGACUCCUACGGGAGGCAGCAGUGGGGAAUAUUGGACAAUGGGCGAAAGCCUGAUCCAGCAAUGCCGCGUGAGUGAUGAAGGCCUUAGGGUUGUAAAGCUCUUUUACCCGGGAUGAUAAUGACAGUACCGGGAGAAUAAGCUCCGGCUAACUCCGCG
rnacentral:rRNA from 1 species